rnacentral:rRNA from 1 species
UACGUAGGGUGCGAGCGUUGUCCGGAAUUAUUGGGCGUAAAGAGCUCGUAGGCGGUGUGUCACGUCGAUCGUGAAAACUUUCAGCUUAACUGGGAGCUUGCGGUCGAUACGGGGCAUCACUGGAGUUCGGCAGGGGAGACUGGAAUUCAAGGUGUAGCGGUGAAAUGCGCAGAUAUCUUGAGGAACACCGGUGGCGAAGGCGGGUCUCUGGGCCGAUACUGACGCUGAGGAGCGAAAGCGUGGGGAGCGAACAGG